UACGUAGGGUGCAAGCGUUGUUCGGAGUUACUGGGCGUAAAGGGUGUGUAGGCGGUUGGUUAAGUUUGGUGUGAAAUCCCCGGGCUCAACCUGGGAAUGGCAUUUGGGACUGCAAGGCUGGAGUGUGGCAGAGGAGACUGGAAUUCCUGGUGUAGCAGUGAAAUGCGUAGAUAUCAGGAGGAAUACCGAUGGCGAAGGCAGGUCUCUGGGCUGACACUGACGCUCAUGCACGAAAGCGUGGGGAGCAAACAGG
rnacentral:rRNA from 1 species